rnacentral:rRNA from 1 species
CCAGUGAAUUUUAAACGGCCGCAGUAUUUUGACUGUGCUAAGGUAGCAUAAUAAAUUGUCCUUUAAUUGAGGACUGGUAUGAAUGGGUUUUUGGUUUAUAGCUGUCUUUAAAAAAUUAUUUAAAAUUUAUUUAAAAGGUGCAAACCCCUUUAAAAUUAUUUAUUAGACGAGAAGACCCUUAGAGUUUAAAUUUUUUUUGUUGGGGCGACAAUGAAGCAAAAAACCUUCAGAUUUACAUUUAUUAAUUUUACUAAAUUUUUUAGAAAUAGCUAAACUACCUAAGGGAUAACAGCAUAAUUUUUAAAAGAUUGUGACCUCGAUGUUGGAUUAAGGGCUUUAAGAUUAACCGUUUUAAAAGAUAGUUCUGUUCGAACUUUUAACCUUACGUGAUCUGA